rnacentral:rRNA from 1 species
UACGAAGGGUGCAAGCGUUACUCGGAAUUACUGGGCGUAAAGCGUGCGUCGGUGGUUUGUUAAGUCUGAUGUGAAAGCCCUGGGCUCAACCUGGGAACUGCAUUGGAAACUGGCUUACUAGAGUGCGGUAGAGGGGUGUGGAAUUCCCGGUGUAGCAGUGAAAUGCGUAGAUAUCGGGAGGAACAUCUGUGGCGAAGGCGAGUCUCUGGGAUGAUGCUGACGCUGAGGCGCGAAAGCCAGGGGAGCAAACGGG